GAAAAACACAAAGAUCUGAUAGUAAUAGCAAUGGGUUGAGUCGGGAUGGUGCUAAGAAUGAUGCGAAUAAUAGUAUUCCUAAGCUUCAAAGACCGUCUCAGACUAGUUCGGAGUUUCUCUAUUUGGGUACACUUGCUAGCUCACAUGGCGGAAUUGAAACACAUAAUGCUCAGAAUCGUAAUGGUAGUAACACUAGUUCUGCUCCUUCUUCCAGAAAAAUGGACUCGCCGGAGCUCCGUCCAUUGCCGCCGUUACAUGGACGGAAUUUGAGACAGAGUUAUGGGAAUACCAGGUUUUUCUCCGGUACUGCUGAAAAUGAU
rnacentral:misc_RNA from 1 species